UACACCUGUUGUAUUCGGCGCAUGUGACUAAUAAAAUGUUUUUUUAAUUUGAGGCCAUACAGUAACACAUGCAUGACAGCAGCACCCAAAACAUUUAAGACCCUGCCCCACAAAAUAACCCUAUUUCCUACCAACUCGUUCUAUAGUAAGCAUGACAGCUAAGAGUUUGACUCCACACCACAUGGCAAGGUUUGCCCACUGAGGUCCAGCAACCAGUCAUGAGUUGAUAGAAUGAAGUGGAAUUAACCAGUCAUGUGUAUAAUCAUCAGUCUUGAUCAUAUGGAAUAAUGGAUACAACAAGGAAUGGUGGCUAUAUCCAUAAAUUAUACAUGUCCACAUAUAGCUACGUUAGCUAGCGAAUCUUCUGAAGUUACUAGCUAACGUUAAUCUUGCAUUCGCAAACAAACAACCCCCUUUCUGUAAAUAUUAGAUUGCUAGCUAAACCAAGGACUUGUUCUGUUUAUAGGCGAAUUGCUCUGGAAGCCAAUACCGCAAAAUACGCCAUCUAAAUGUGAAUCGAUUCUCAAUUCUCAAACGUGAAUCGAUUCUAAUAUCUCUACUUUCAUAUCACAUCAAAAUAAUUGUACAAACUUAAAAUAUACACUUAAUGUACACUGUUUUAAUCGAUUUUAACACUGUUGCAGCCGACAGUAUUUUCCAACGACAACCCGUUUCCUUCUUCAGUUUACACACAGGUGUUGGGAGAUGCAGGUAACGUUAGUCCACUAGGUCUCCCGUGAACAAGCGCUGUACCAUGGACAUAUGGCUGUGUGGGAACCAUAAACCUGUGUGUGUCAAUUUAAUCUGUUGUUUAUUGAAAAUUAUUUAUCGCUGAUAUGAAAGUUAAGGUCCUUAUGCUUCAAAAACGGUACCGCAAGUGAUGCAUGUUAAUAAUAUCCGACCGAGCGUCGGGGCUCUUAAAACACUCCCCAUAGAAGACCCUUUCGCGUCGUCCAAUGAUUUAUAUGUAACGUUAAUAUAAAUUAGUAACGUUAUUGAUCAAAGGCCUGCUAGUUACAUUACCGGCAUCAACAAUUAGCUAUGUUCUACAUACCUCCAACUAAAAAGAACAGUCAAAUUAAAACAGACAAUACUCGUUACGGUUUGUUUUGCAAUGUGUGAUGAAUAUAUUGAAAGCUACACAUUUAGGGAAGCAAAAACUUUCAGCUCGCUAACUAAAGUACCUAAGUUAACGUUACCUAGCUAACGUUACGCGAUAGCAAGAUAAGCUACAAGUUAACGUUAGCUGUCAUACGUUCCUAAAUGUCACUUUGCCAGUGUGUAUCCUUCCUUAAACAUUAAUUUAGCUAUAUCAAUAACUACUUCCGUUUUUUUCGUUUUUUUUGUAUUCAUUUAAUGUCAGCAGUAUGGUUAGAUUUAAAAUCAAUUUUAAUUCGAUUAAUUGUAGAAAUAAACGGAGUUAAGCAUAGUUAUGAGUGUAGGUGUAGUCUAAUCCGGUGGUUUGUGGUAACUAGUGACAAACGCGAGAAGUCUCCUGUCGCACAUGCUACAGACCCGACAAGUGGAUUUCAGAACACUCGCCAUCUCAUCAGAAUGGUAAACCAGACAUUAAAACCAGGGGUAAACCAAUCAAUUACACAGCAGCAAUUGGUCGUUAGGGAAUUAUUGUGCACUAACAGAGAGGUUUAUAAACACAAAACUAAUAACAAAAGUAAGCAGUAAACAAAUACACAAUAUAUAUUGUGUGUAUAAAAGAUGGGCCUCAUCAAUGUCUUCUUGGGUAGAGGAAAAUAGAUUGAACUAAAUCAUGUAUUUGUUGAAAAUAUUUGACAAAGAAAUGUGUGGACAGUUUAGCAGAGUGAGUUUCCUCUGCAUUAUUCAUACAUAAUUGCUGAUGCAGGCAUCUGUGAUGAUGAAUGUUCUCACAUUGGCUUGUCUGCAGUCUGCACACUCCUCCAACAGUAGGAGCACUUGCAUAGAACUGGGCACCUUUCUUCAGCUCCUGUACAAGCUACCUACCACAACCCAUAUUGUCUAUGACCAAGAUCAUCUUCUGAAGCCAACCCAUGUUGUGACUCAUCUUCAGCGCGCUGUCCUAUGUGGCUGACAGCAUAGCUUCCUGCUGCUGCCCCUCAGGAAAGAUCAAUUCAGCUACAGGAUGACAAUACCAGCUCAGGGGUAAGUGUUUUGACCUGCCAAAAUGUGUAUGUCUAGUUCUCCUGUCGAAUCUAUGGGUGUGUGUAGGUACAGUAGCUGAGUAAAGCAUGUUCAACUUCUACCUGUUUUUCUAUUUUGCAGGGGAGGAUGUGUGGACAGUCUUCAACGGGGCACCAUCCAGUGAAAACCCUCCAGCCAAUAAGAUUCUCUCUUAGAUGGCUAUUUUAGAGAGGGACUAGGGGUAGGGUUUUAGUACUUUGAAAAUGCAUCCUUCCUUCAAGAUUUCACUGAUUAGUACAGAAUUAGAUAGUUCUGCAUAUGGCUAGCCGGUACUUUUCCUCUGUGCUUGUGAUAAUGAUGACUUGUCUGUAAACUCCUUCUUUGGGAGGUGGAUAUAUCUGACAACACCCAAGUACAGAAGGUAACCAGCAGAGUCGAGUGUGGCUGAACUGCAACCUAUUUUGCUUUCAUUAUGUUUUGUCAAAUCUAUGACAAACAUAUUGAACAAAGUUAUAUGUAAUUAAGAAAAUGUUACUUGAUGGAGCACAUUUCAGACUUGGUUGUAGCUUUAUUAUCUAACAAAUCUCUAUUUUCUGGGACAGGACCAUUUACCCUGGUAAAAAAGAGCUUUACAGGUUUCUUAACCCAACCUUACAACCACUGCUAAAUGUCAGCGCUAAAGCCAGAGCUAUUACAGACGUCACAGAACUAUAAAAAGUCAAGGCCUAUAAUCAUGAUACUCUAUUUAGAAAACUAUAGAAUAGUAAAUAAUGCCCAUAAACCAAAAACACAAUCAACAUAUUUUAUAUUACCAUUCUUUCAUCUAACAUUAGACAAACCCUUCAAAGCGAAUUUGAUACGCUUUACAAAAGUGUCUACUAGCUCCAAGACUCCCACCUUUGGUGAGAAUUAGUGGUUGCUGCACACAAAGAAAAAAAACAAUAUGACGUAACAAUGUUAUGUAUAAAAAUAAACUGUAAAUUAAUGUAUGAAGAUA